rnacentral:piRNA from 1 species
GCACUGAGAUGGGAGUGGUGU